rnacentral:rRNA from 1 species
GUCCUAGCCGUAAACGGUGAUCACUAGGUGUUGGAGGCAUCGACCCCUCCAGUGCCGCAGCUAACGCAUUAAGUGAUCCGCCUGGGGAGUACGGCCGCAAGGUUGAAACUCAAAGGAAUUGACUGGGGCCCCGCACAAGCGGUGGAGCAUGUUGUUUAAUUCGACGCAACGCGAAUAACCUUACCCAGACUUGACAUGCAUUGGACUGGUGUGGAAACACACCUUCCCUUCGGGGCCGAUGCACAGGUGCUGCAUGGCUGUCGU